rnacentral:rRNA from 1 species
AUUGAACGCUGGCGGCAGGCCUAACACAUGCAAGUCGAGCGAGCGGCGGACGGGUGAGUAAUGUCUGGGAAACUGCCUGAUGGAGGGGGAUAACUACUGGAAACGGUAGCUAAUACCGCAUACCAUCAGAUGUGCCCAGAUGGGAGUAGCGAGUUGGUGGGGUAACGGCUCACCUAGGCGACGAUCCCUAACUGGGCUGAGAGGAUGACCAGCAAAACGGGAACUGAGACACGGUCAGGACUCCGACGGAAGGCAGCAGUGGGGAAUAUUGCACAAUGGGCGCAGGCCUGCUGCAGCCAUGCCGCGUGUGGGAAGAAGGGCUUCGGGUUGUAAAGCGCUUUCAGCGGGGAGGCGUUACCCGCAGAAGAAGCACCGGCUAACUCCGUGCCAGCAGCCGCGGUAAUUC